AGUGAACGCUGGCGGUAGGCCUAACACAUGCGAGUCGAACGGCAGCACAGUAAGAGCUUGCUCUUACGGGUGGCGAGUGGCGGACGGGUGAGGAAUACAUCGGAAUCUACUUUUUCGUGGGGGAUAACGUAGGGAAACUUACGCUAAUACCGCAUACGACCUACGGGUGAAAGCAGGGGAUCUUCGGACCUUGCGCGAUUGAAUGAGCCGAUGUCGGAUUAGCUAGUUGGCGGGGUAAAGGCCCACCAAGGCGACGAUCCGUAGCUGGUCUGAGAGGAUGAUCAGCCACACUGGAACUGAGACACGGUCCAGACUCCUACGGGAGGCAGCAGUGGGGAAUAUUGGACAAUGGGCGCAAGCCUGAUCCAGCCAUACCGCGUGGGUGAAGAAGGCCUUCGGGUUGUAAAGCCCUUUUGCUGGGAAAGAAAAGCAGCAGGUUAAUACCCCGCUGUUCUGACGGUACCCAAAGAAUAAGCACCGGCUAACUUCGUG
rnacentral:rRNA from 1 species